GAGGGUUCCAUUUUCUCCAUAUCCUUGCCAACAUUUGUUAUUUAAUGUCUUCUUGAUGAUAGCCAUUCUAGUGGGUCUGAGGUGAUAUCGCAUAAUGCUUUUAAUUUUCAUUUCCCUGAUGAUUAGUGAUGCUAAUGUUGGGUAGGAUAAGAUAGGGACUCAGAUCUGCGUGAUUCAAUACAGGCCAUUUAUUGUUACCAAAAACAGGAGGCCUGUGAUCAAACAGUGAAGACACAUGCAGGUACCAGAGGAAUGCUCUUCAGAGAACUUCCCUAUAACUUUUUCCCAUGCAAAUAAGGCAUCCCUGACUGGAACCAAUCAGAGGAUCAAAACAUUCUUCCUCCCACCCAUACAGAGAUCAAAACACUCAACCCUUACACAAGGUGCAGGGGGGUUGGUACAGGAAAUUAAUGGGCCUGGGUCAAGAGAAUAGGGGUCCCCAAACAGGUCCACAUUAUAGGUCUAUAAGGAAAGACCCAGUUGCAGCCAGGGCCAGUCCCUACCUCAGGGCAGCCCACUCUCUCUGAGGGCAUAAAUUAAAUUUGCUCUGCAUUGCUGAGUGACUCUUGAUUACAAUCAAGAUUUGGCCCUCAGAGGCAACCAGCAGGAACAGUUUUUCACUCUGGGCCAUGCACCUGGAAUAGCUUGUUAAUAGAGCCCCGUUGUUUUACUGUCAAUAUUUUUUCAAGUAUUAUUUCUGCUUCUUUCUUUAUUUCUUCUAUGACCUCUAUAAUUUCUUCUGUGAACUCCAAAAUGUUAGUGUGCUUGAUGUCCUUACAGAGGUCCCUUAAACUAUUCUCAUUUAAAAAUUUAUCUUUCCCUUUGGCUAUUUGGACUCAGUGAUUUCUAUCAGCCUCUCUUCCAGAUCCCUGAUCUCCCCAUAUCACCCUAAUUGCUGUUGAUUCCCUCUAGUGUAUUUUUCAUUCCAGUUAUUCCAGAUGAAGAGAUGUAUUCUUCAACCUCUGAAUGGUUCUCUCUUAUACUUUUUUAACUUUGCCAAAGCACUUACUAAGUUCACCCACUCUUUUCUUGAGUUUCGUGAGUGUCUUUAUGACCAUUACUUUGAAUUUUUUAUCAGUUAGAUCAUUUAUUUCCAUAUCCUUAAUAUGUUUUUAUGAGAUCAGUCUUGUUCUUUCAUUUUGAGCUAUUUAUUUGUUUCCAGAUUGUGUGGCUCUCUGUGUUUGUUUCUGUGUAAUAGGCCACACUGUUAACUCUCUCACUCUUGAAGGAAUGAUCGUGAUUAGAAGAUGAUUCUUCUCCUUCAAACUUACCCUAGCUCUUGGUUGUCUCUAGAAUCUUUGUUGUCAUCUAUACCACCUGAUUAGUUUUGAUAUAUGCUCCUGCUGUUGAGGGUGUAUCAAAACAUUCACCUAUCUUGUUAUAUUUUCUUUAUCGUGGAGCAGGUAUUCUUCUAGUUACCAGGUUCCUUUCAGAAGGAAUUAAUCCAUAUGUCACUGCAUAAUAAAUCCAUAUGUCACUGUUUCAUUGUUAUGUAAAUAGAAGUUAGUUAGUUCAGGCUUUUCCGGGCACCAUCAUCUUGAAAUACAUCUCUUUGACUGAAUUGAGGCAUCAUAUUUUAAACUGUGAUAUUGACAAAGCAAAAUGUGUCCAGAGAGAGUAAUUAGCAUGAACAAUAAAUCAGUACCACACAUAUACAAAGUUUUCAUUGACUAAAGAAGAUUCAUAAGAAAAUUUCAUUUUUAUAUAAUCUAAGUUCUAUUAUGUGGAAAAGAUUACAUGGCCCCAGAGUUUUUGGACCAAAAAGUUAAAUUUAUAAAAAGGCAUGUCACAUGGCUGUAAUAAAGACAUUUCUAAUCAUCUAAUGGAUCACUUUUUGAUAGGAGGGUUUUUCUUUCCUUGAGUCUUUUAAUCAAAGAAAAUAUAUUUUAUAUUAGAUUUAAACAGGGGUCUGGGAAGUCUUAUAAAUCUGUUUCUGCAUAAUCUUUUAUUUUUUAGGAUUUACUAAUGAAUCAUAACUAUAUGAUACAGAACUCUCUAGAAAAAAAUAUUUAACAAAGACCCUUAAUUUAUAACUCCAUCAUCCUUUUCUUAAGCUCAUAAAUUCAAAAUCAUGUAAUUGAGUGUUAUGUACACCAUCUUCUAAAAGAAUAUUAAUAAAAAGAAUUCAAGGCAGGUGAAAUUAGUGAAAAAUUGGGGAAGUUGUUAUACUGAUUAAGAUUGUUCUGUUUCAUUAGCAUUUUAUCCAAUACUUUAUUCUUUUUUAUGAGUGUUUCUUAAUUGGGGUAUCAAACAUUUUCUGAUCACACUAGUAAACUACUGAAACAAGAUCUUAGUUCUCUAAUAUCUAGUCUCUUUAGGAUCCUUUUGAAUCUUAUAGAAUCUAAUUUUUUUAGCAAAUCUGAUUAAUUCAAAGAUGCCAACAUAUUAAUGAAUUAUAAUCAAUUAAUAUCAAUUAAUAUAAAUAUUUGUAUCUUUAAAAGAUAACUUUUAAUCAGUUAAUUUUUCCGCUAAAAGAAUUAGAGCCAGUGUCAGAUUUGGGUCAAUUGUUAGACAAAAUCUUUUCUUCCUAAAAUCCCAUGUUGAACUUGUCUCUUCUAAUCUGACAAGCUUGAUUCAAAUGGAUACUACCAGUUGAUAUUACCUUCUAGUAAACAAAGAAAAGAGAAGAAUAUUAAUUCUUCUGUUCAACAUUCAAUUCCUCUUUUCCUGUAAUUUCUAUGGCCAUUUUGGAAACAUCAGUAGCAAAGCAGGAAGUAGAGGCCACAGUCUUUAACAAAGUCACAAGCUCUGAGCAAAAAAACUUCUCACUCAGCAGUUUAUAAUUCCCUCCCCCAUCUACUUAUCUCAUAAAAUUAUGUUUACAAAAAAUAAGCUGACAUUUUGAAUGAGACUUUUUCCUGGUUCAUAUUUUGCCAUUCUCUGAACCUUCUGACAAUAAGUUGGAUGGGGAUAACAAUGGGGGGCCACUGAGAGCAGAAGUGAAGUAAGGUAGGAGAGAUCUCUUUCUGUUUCUUAUACACUCAAGAAAGGUAGGGAGUUCCCUUUGUGGUGCAGCAGAAAUGAAUCUGACUCAUAUCCAUGAGAUGCACAUUCAAUCCAGUGGGUCAGGCAUCUGGUGUUGCCGUGAGGGCUAUGGUGUAGGUCGCAAACACAGCUUGAAUCCUACAUUGCUAUGG
rnacentral:lncRNA from 1 species